UCCCGCGCGGUUACUCAUAAAGACUCUAUCUUCUUCCUGUCAUUCUUCGCUCUUUCGUACCAAUCCUCAAUCAUCUUCUCCCCUUCUUCUUUCAACUGGUUAUAACUUUUUUGCAUCUCAGUUCGGAUAAGAGCUUCAAGCUUCAUCUGCUUUUCCUGCUCCGUUAGAGGUCGAGGUUGGGAAGGAAGCUGGGGUUCUUGGGACUGUUCUGAUUGGCCCAUCUCCUCCUUUGAAGAAGAAGCAACGGCAGGCGAAGAGAAGAGGUCGUCUACAACCUUUCUAGCGGCCAAAGCCCCUCGAGUAAGAGAUGCAUCCAUUGCUUCCCUGGGCAACGCUGCAUGUGGAGAAGGCUUUGCCGGCCGGGCAGAACGAAGCGUUGCCUUUCCACGAGGAGUGGGGGCGGGUGAAGAAGUGGGCGGUAUAUUCGCAAAUCGGUCAAGUUGAGAGAGAGGACGAGAGCUGGGGAUAGGUGAUUUGACGGACGGUGGUAGAGGAGACGGCGGAAGCGAGGGAAGAGGCUUUGACCGAGAAGAAGGUUUGGACGAUUUGGAAGCUUCCGAAGAUGCUUUCGACUUGGCCUUUGGAGCAGGUUUUAUAACUUUGGGAGUUGGUUGUUCAUCGGCUAGUAAUUUCGCCUCUGAGUCUGAAGGCGCAUCUACCUCAGUACCGGCUUUACUCUCCUCUUCUUCCUCCACUUCGCUCUUCUGUGCCUUUUUUCUCCCUUUGGCCUUUGUGGCAGCUUUGGCCCUCGUUUUUUUCUCGGGCUUUUGGGCGAGCUCAGCUUCAGAUUCUGUUGGCGCCUCCAUUCCUGAUUCCGCCGCAACUACCUCUUCGGCCGCCGUCUCAUUCGCUACCUUUUGCUUUCCCUUGCUUUGUGCCGUUGCCUUUGGCUUCUUUUUUUCUUCUUUAGAUUUUGCACGAGUCUUCUUCACGGGUACUGGCUGCUCGACAUCGCUCUCCAUUUCUACUUCCGUGUGGUUCUCCGCGACUGUUGCAUCCUCCACGAUCAUUUGGGACUCUGACACGGCUUCAUCCUUUCCAGUCUUCUUUUUGCCUCUUGUCGCCUUUGCCUUGCUUGUUGUCGUGGCCGUCGCUGCUGUCGUCGUCACACGAGCCUUGGUCGCUCUUCUGGCCGAAGUAGUGGCUUGUGAGACAGGAACGUCCUCUUCAGGGAUAUGCUCCGGCCCCUCUACUUCAUAGGCCACGGGCGCUACUGUCGUGCCCCGUUUUGAUCUAUGCCGAGUUAGUUUGCAUCCAAAUGAAAAAAGCCAAAUGAAUUACUUUUUGGGGGCCUCAGACUUUUUCCGCCGUCCAGAAGCCUUACUCUACCACGAAUCAGUCUUGGAGAACUACUGUUGGGCUGUCCAUAGAAGCAACAUACAGGCUUUUCUUUUUCAACGUCUGUUUUCUCCGCUGCGUCUGAAUGAUAUUCGGCAUUCUCAGGCUCGGAAGGCUCGGGAGGGGCUAUUGCUGUUCCCCGUUUAGACCUAGAAGCGGUUAAACGAAUGCACGAAAA
rnacentral:sRNA from 1 species